AGUUUGUACUGCAGAAGAAGAUGAUGAUGGUAACGAUGAUAAUACAGCCAUGCAGGAUUCAGAUGGCGGUAGCCUUUUGGAAUAUAGCAGCCCUGAAAAACGCUCCUGCCUAGAUGUUAAGCAUGAAGAGAUUCGCAUCAAGGAAGAAAUACGUUCUGAACCCUCUUCAGAUGAGGAGAAUAUAGAAGAUAUGUCAUUUCCAGAGCCAAAUCCUUUUGAACUAUUUAUGACUCAUUCAGAUUCAUCCAGUGAGACCAGUAUUUCAUCUACAGAGUGCAGAACACCACAGUCAG